AGGAAAGAAGAGCUUUGGCUCUCACUUAAUGAUCACAGUCUGGCUGGAGUUAGGGUGCUCAGGUGGUAGAUAGCACCACCUUGAAGGAAGGCAUCUCUACAACAUCAAGGGUUCCUGGAUCCAUAAAACAUGUAGUGAGGGAGGACCUGGGCUCUCCUACCAGCCCACUGAGGAAAGUGGAGUGGAAAUGCUCUUGACAAGGGGACAGAAAACUAUUUGAAUGAAGAAUUGAUAUUAACAAGGGAAAAGGAACAGCUUAAAGAAUGGUUAAGUCAGAUGUAUUCAGGCUGUCAGAGCCUGAUGAAAUUCAUCCUGGAGAACUGAAGGAAGUAGCUGAAGCAACCUCAGAACGGUGAAAAUGAUUCUUGGAUCUCAUCUGCACCCCUUCUUGGCAAAGUCAGUCUACAUGGUGCAUCUAAACAGCACUGCCCCGUCAUGAGUCUGAGACACCCCAACUUUAGUUCUCUGUGGAAGUUUGUAGAUUCAGCAGUGAUUAUUGCUGAGGAAGACAGCAGGACAGGAGGAGGAUCAAGUGACAUGCAACCUGUGAAAUUUUUUGUGUACAGUAUUACAUGUGUAUUGUAUAUCUUUAUGCACUGGAGUCUUUCAUUGUAUAAAUUGCAUUCUUGUCAUAUGGGAUAAAUUAUUUUCCACACAAAGAUGUGUGUAACACCGUAGGCAGCUAAAAAGUAUGUGAGUGCAACAAACAAUGCAAUAAAAACGUCAUGAGU